rnacentral:rRNA from 1 species
AUUGAACGCUGGCGGCAUGCCUUACACAUGCAAGUCGAACGGCAGCACGGGAGCAAUCCUGGUGGCGAGUGGCGAACGGGUGAGUAAUAUAUCGGAACGUGCCCAGUGAUGGGGGAUAGCCCGGCGAAAGCCGGAUUAAUACCGCAUACGACCUACGGGUGAAAGCAGGGGAUCGCAAGACCUUGCGUCAUUGGAGCGGCCGAUAUCAGAUUAGCUUGNGGUGGGGUAAAGCCUACCAAGGCGACGAUCUGUAGCUGGUCUGAGAGGACGACCAGCCACACUGGGACUGAGACACGGCCCAGACUCCUACGGGAGGCAGCAGUGGGGAAUUUUGGACAAUGGGCGCAAGCCUGAUCCAGCCAUGCCGCGUGCGGGAAGAAGGCC